rnacentral:rRNA from 1 species
AGAGUUUGAUCCUGGCUCAGAAUCAACGCUGGCGGCGUGCCUAACACAUGCAAGUCGAACGCGAAAGCCCGCAAGGGUAAGUAGAGUGGCGCACGGGUGAGUAACACGUGGACAACCUGCCUUCGAGUGGGGAAUAACCUUCCGAAAGGAGGGCUAAUACCGCAUAACACCUCGGAACACAAGUUCUGGGGUUGAAAAGAGCAAUUUGCUCGAAGAGGGGUCCGCGCCUGAUUAGCUAGUUGGUGAGGUAACGGCUCACCAAGGCUUCGAUCAGUAGCCGUCCUGAGAGGGAGCACGGCCACACUGGAACUGAGACACGGUCCAGACUCCUACGGGAGGCAGCAGUGGGGAAUUUUUGGCAAUGGGCGAAAGCCUGACCAAGCAACGCCGCGUGGGUGAUGAAGUAUCUUGGUACGUAAAACCCUUUCGGCAGGGACGAACCUAAUGACGGUACCUGCGAGAG